rnacentral:rRNA from 1 species
UACGGAGGGUGCGAGCGUUGUCCGGAAUCACUGGGCGUAAAGGGCGCGUAGGCGGCCUGAUAAGUAGGGGGUGAAAUCCCUCGGCUUAACCGAGGAACUGCCUGUCAAACUGCAUGGCUUGAGACCGGGAGAGGUGAGUGGAAUUCCCAGUGUAGCGGUGAAAUGCGUAGAUAUUGGGAGGAACACCAGUGGCGAAGGCGACUCACUGGACCGGUACUGACGCUGAUGCGCGAAAGCGUGGGGAGCAAACAGG